rnacentral:rRNA from 1 species
GAAAGAAAGGGCAGACGGUGGAUGCCUUGGCUCUUGGAGGCGAAGAAGGACGUGAUAAGCUGCGAUAAGCAGGGACUAGGUGCAAAUAACCGUUAGAAUCCCUGAUUUCCGAAUGGGGCAACCCGGCAGGUUGAAGGCCUGUCAUUCCGCAAGGAAGGCAAACGUGGGGAACUGAAACAUCUAAGUACCCACAGGAGGAGAAAACAAAAGUGAUUCCGCAAGUAGUGGCGAGCGAACGCGGAACAGCCCAAACCGGCAUUGUCCAGGCAAUACCGGGGUUGUAGGACCACGUUGUAGCAAGAAAUCGGUAAAGUGGAAUCAACUGGAAAGUUGAAUCAGAGAAGGUGACAAUCCCGUACACGACUUAUCGACGAAGCUUAGUGGUAUCCUGAGUAGCGCGGGACACGAGAAAUCCUGUGUGAAUCUGCGGGGCCCAUCCCGCAAGGCUAAAUACUCCCAAGAGACCGAUAGCGAACCAGUACCGUGAGGGAAAGGUGAAAAGAACCUCGAAUAGAGGAGUGAAAUAGACCCUGAACCCGUCUGCCUACAAGCGGUCGGAGCAUUUUAAUAAUGUGACGGCGUGCCUUUUGCAUAAUGAACCUACGAGUUACUUUUGUUGGCAAGGUUAAGUGGCUAAGUCACGGAGCCGAAGGGAAACCGAGUCUGAACAGGGCGUUAUAGUCAGCAGGAGUAGACGCGAAACCAAGUGAUCUACCCUUGAGCAGGUUGAAGGUUGGGUAACACCAACUGGAGGACCGAACCGGUAAAUGUUGAAAAAUUUUCGGAUGACUUGAGGGUAGGGGUGAAAGGCUAAUCAAACUUGGAGAUAGCUCGUACUCCCCGAAAUGCAUUUAGGUGCAGCCUCGGUUGAUUUUUUAUGUCAGGUAGAGCGACUGAUUGGAUGCGAGGGCUUCGCCGCCUAUCAAGUCCAGACAAACUCCGAAUGGGCAUAAAAUAAAACCGGGAGUGAGGGCGCGGGUGCUAAGGUCCGUGUCCGAAAGGAGAAGAAUCCAGACCACCGGCUAAGGUCCCCAAAUAGAUACUAAGUUGCAUUAACGAAGUCUGGUUACAUGGACAGCUAGGAUGUUGGCUUGGAAGCAGCCAUUCAUUUAAAGAGUGCGUAACAGCUCACUAGUCGAGUGACCGGGCAUGGAUAAUAAUCGGGCAUAAGUAUCUUACCGAAGCUGUGGAAUCAUGCUAAGCAUGAUUGGUAGGGGAGCAUUCUAAACGCGUAGAAGGCAAACGAUAACGUUUACUGGAGCAUUUAGAAAAGCAAAUGUAGGUAUAAGUAACGAUAAUGCGGGCGAGAAACCCGCACGCCGAAAGACCAAGGAUUCCUGAUCAACGCUAAUCGGAUCAGGGUAAGUCGGGGCCUAAGGAUAAGCCGAAAGGCGAGGCCGAUGGAAGAACCGGUUAAUAUUCCGGUACUGUUUGUAAGAGAGAAGUGGGGACGGAGAAGUGAAACUCCUGCCGGCUGACGGAAUAGCCGGUUAAAGGGUGUAGACGCAGAUUCCUGCAGGCAAAUCCGCAGGAAGAGUCGAACCUGAUAGUAUCGCGAGUGCUUGCACGAGCGAAUAUGGAGGUAAGCAGGCUCCCAAGAAAAACCGCUAUCGUUAAUUUUACAAACACCCGUACUGUAAACCGACACAGGUGGUCGCGUAGAAUAUACUAAGGCGCUCGAGAGAAUCAUGGUUAAGGAAUUAGGCAAAAUGGCCCUGUAACUUCGGGAUAAAGGGCGCCUGCCGAACAGGCAGGCCGCAGAGAAUAGGAGAAGGCGACUGUUUAACAAAAACACAUGGCUGUGCAAAAUUUAAAGAUGAAGUAUACAGCCUGACACCUGCCCGGUGCCGGAAGG